rnacentral:misc_RNA from 1 species
CGCCACAAUGUAGUGUGGCCUUGGGCUCCAAGUUUCUCAUUUACCACUUCCUCUCACCAUUACUACUCUCCAUGGAGGACCCUUCAUCAUCGCUGAGCACUGUCACGCGCAGCGGCAUCAAUCUUGACGACAGAUACACUUGCUGCGUGUGCACGAAUCCAAUGAUCCCUGCGGUGCGAAACAAUCACUGCAACCACUACAUCUGCCUCCGUUGCUCUUUCAUGUGCGACUCGAGGUGCCCGCUUUGUCGCGCAGAUGCUGAAUGGGCCACAGACAGUGACCUCAGCUGCACAAUUGGAAAUGAAUUGCGCGACGCUCUCGUCGCUGAGUCACUCAACCGGUUACGUUCUAUUCAAGGGAGCACAAGCGGGGCGACAGCCCGUGACAUCAUUGUGGGUCAUCUUGAUGCCACUCGCUUCACCGUUGAUUUGAGGAGCGUUGCCGACGAUCUACAGUGCAUUCAGCGCUAUGAGGCGACCGUAGGCUGCACCAAAGACGAGGAAGAUACCGAUGAAAAUUAUGUGUUCUAUUGCCACUCGCAACUUCAGCUGAACGCACUCCAGAGCACGAGGCACACACGCAUUCUUUUUUGCACUGCACCCACUUUGUCGGAUCCGACAAGGAUAAGUGGCUUCCAAAGACUACGCGUGCUACACCUCCAGGGCUGCCGUCAGCUUACGUCUCUACCGCCUCUUAGCUAUGCUCGUGACCUGCGCGUUUUAGUGGUCCAUCGGUGCGGGAUUCGCAGCGUCGGUGCCUUGGGCGACUGCCCGGAGGUUGAAACGGUGGCGUUUCGCGAGUGCGGCGAGCUCGCUGAUGUGGCCGGUUUGACGCACCUGGCGAAUGCCACUUCUCUUUCGUUGAUAGAUUGCAGCAAGGUGCUCGACGUCAAGCCGCUGUCUUCGGCCACCAAGCUGCAGCACGUGUCCUUGAAAGGCACAAGCAUCAAUAGUAUUGCCGGAUUGAGCGGCUCCGCUGCCACUUUGCACAUUGUCAGCGCCGAGGGGUGCACGCAGCUCACCAGCAUCGACCCGCUUUCAGCAGCGACGAAGCUGACGGAGGUACGUUUGGCUGGGACUGGCGUCGUCGACCUUUCACCUCUCCAAGCCAGCAUGCCCACGAUUACUGUUCUCGACGUGGAGAGAUGCACUGAGCUACACAGCAUCCUGUGUCUUUCUACAGCAGCAUCGUUGCGCGAGCUGUACUGCGGAGGCACAAAGGUGAAGGAUGUCAACCCUCUGAAGCCAAUCGCACCAAUUCUCAAGGUGGUCCAUUUGGAGCGGUGCUCUGGCAUUGAAAACAUCGACGCGCUUUCUCAAGCUAGCAGCCUGAAGGAAAUCGACCUAAGUCACACAAAAGUGCACAACAUUGAUGCACUGCGGCUCAGCGCUGACACCCUUGAAGUUCUUCUUGUAGGUCACUGCGUGGCGCUGAGGGACCUGUCACCUAUUGCAACCGCUUCACACUUGCGCUGCGUCGACGUGCAGUCGACUGGCGUGCAGAAUCUCGAAUUCCUGCGGGCGAGCGCGUGUACCCUCGAAGUGGUGUGCGCCGACAACUGCCCGAUCUCCGAUAUUUCCCCUCUCCGUGGAGCAGCAAAGCUGCGGGAGGUGCGACUGGCCAGCACCGCCGUUGACUCCCUUGACGACCUUCGUGCGAGCGUGCCAUCCUUGAAGUGCCUUUUCCUGGGCGGCUGCUCCCGCAUUGGUGACAUUUCACUGCUCAUGCACGCUACACAGCUUCGGGAAGUGUAUCUCACAAACACUGGCAUCGGCAAUAUUGAGGCCCUGCAGCCGUCAGCGGCGACUCUCGAGGUUGUUGCUAUCGGCGGCUGUGGCCGCAUCUCGGACAUUACGCCGCUGCUCGUGGCCACAAAGCUGAGGCUUGUAUACCUCUGGGGCACCAACAUCAGCAACAUACAUGCUAUUCGUUUCAGCGUAUCCUCUCUGGAGGUGCUGGACAUUGGAGGAUGCGGCCGGGUGUCGGAGGUUUCUUCUUUGCUGAACGCCACGAAGCUGCGGGAGGUGCGUCUCCACAACACGGCGCUACAGAGCAUUGAGGCACUGCGGCCAAGCGCCGGUUGCCUCCAGUGGGUUGAGCUGGUUGGCUGUACUCACGUUUCUGAUAUAUCCCCUCUCUCCAAUGCCACAAAGUUGAGGGAGGUGUAUCUUACGAACACGGCUGUAAGCAGCAUCGAUGCACUGCGGUGCAGUGCCCCAUCCCUCGAGGUGAUUGCCCUGGGCAACUGCGCGGAAGUGUCUGAUCUCUCAGCUCUCGCCGCCGCAACCAAGCUCAGAGAGGCGUACCUAUGGGGUACAAAGAUAAACAGCAUCGAGGCGCUGAAAUCUAGCAUGGCAUCGCUGACGGUACUUGAGGUGACGGGGUGCACGAAAAUCUCGGAUGUGUCCAUCCUAUCCGGUGCCGUGAGGCUUCGCCGCGUCGACCUGGCGAACACAUCGAUUACCUCCAUUGAUGCGCUGGUGCCAGUGGCAUCCUCUCUCGAAUUCAUCAAUGUCAGCGGCUGCAUUAUGAUAAAAGACUUCGCGCCCCUUGGUGCCGCCACAAGUAUCAAGACAAUGUGGAUGCGAAAGCUUCGUCUCGACUCCCUAAAUGUGCUUCGCCCUGUCACCAGAACCCUGGAGAAGGUGGACGUCAGCGGGUGCCUGAACCUGCGCGACAUCUCGGCUCUCGAGUCCGCCACGAAGCUGAGAGAGGUGUCUCUCCAAAACACAUCUAUUGACAGCCUGGAUGCUUUGAAGUCCAGUGCGUCGGCGUUGACAGUCGUGAACGCCAGCAGCUGCGUCAAUCUGACUAGUAUCGAGGCCCUCGUAUCGGCGACACAGCUCAAAGAGGUGAGGCUCAGCAACACGCGUAUCAGCAGCCUUCAACCGCUCCGUGCGAGCGCGGCAUGCGUGCAGAUCGUCGACGUCAGCGGAUGUGUGAACCUGAAAAGCACAACUGCUCUCGCUAAUGCACCAAGCAUGCGGCAGCUCACUCAUGACUAAGCCCCGAAUCCAGCCACGAUCGUUUGCUUUCUUUCCAUGACCACGCAGUGCGCUUCCACUCGGCUAUGCCUGUGUGUGUGUCUGAUUAUCCGUGCCUCUCGCCGUAUUUGCAUUUCUUCGCUAUUUUUUGUGGCCCUCAGCUGGACUGCUGCGUCUGACACGCUCGCGUCCUCUAUAUUUCGCCUCUGCCGCACCAUACAUCCUGGUAUUCACAGAAGAUCCGCUGUUUACUUCCAUACUGCUGCACCGCCUUUCCCUGUACAGCGUGCUCUGUGUCUGCCUCAACAUCGGACACAGCAGUGCCGUCGAAAAUAAUUCACUGCUGGCAUCCACCAUUAUACACUUGUGAUGUAACAGCGAGAGCGAUUGCUUCAGUUUAUCCCAUCUUUCAGGCCUCCCUUAUUGUUCCGUGCAUUUGUUUACCUCUGCAUCUUUUAAAGAGUCUUUUCCUCAUUCUAUUCGUUCCUUUAUCUCAUUGUCAGGUGCUGUGACGCUCUACGUCGGCUUACUGCAUCGUCCCAAAAAGAGCAAGCCCUCUCUCUGUUUAUGCUCCGCAUGUCCCGUCAUCGGUUUCUAUCCCCUUUCCAG